rnacentral:rRNA from 1 species
UACGUAGGGUGCGAGCGUUAAUCGGAAUUACUGGGCGUAAAGCGUGCGCAGGCGGUUAUGUAAGACAGUUGUGAAAUCCCCGGGCUCAACCUGGGAAUCGCAUCUGUGACUGCAUAGCUAGAGUUUGGCAGAGGGGGGGUAGAAUUCCACGUGUAGCAGUGAAAUGCGUAGAUAUGUGGAGGAACACCGAUGGCGAAGGCAGCCCCCCUGGGUCAAAACUGACGCUCAUGCACGAAAGCGUGGGGAGCAAACAGG